rnacentral:precursor_RNA from 14 species
AAUUAAUAUAGAGUGUUGUGUGCAGUGCUUUAUCUAGUUGGCUGUCAGUCACGUGAAACUCAAGUGCAUGACACCAUACUGGGUAGAGGAGGGCUCACGGUGUUCUUCAUUUCUUGU